AAAAAGCCGGUACAAGCGUAUAGCAGUCAUGCAGGCAAAACCGCAUGAAAAAUGUAAAGCGUUAUGUGGAUCGAACAUUAGUAGAGAAGCGUGUGAGCCAGCUGCCAAGAAAAGCCGCUAUUGCUUCAUAAGUACCCGUACCGUAAACCGACACAGGUGGAUGAGGAGAGAAUCCUAAGGCCGGCGGGAGAAGUGUUGUUAAGGAACUCGGCAAAAUGACUCCGUAACUUCGGGAGAAGGAGUGCCACAGAGAUGUGGCCGCAGAGAAAUGGCCCAAGCAACUGUUUAGCAAAAACACAGGUCUAUGCAAAACCGAAAGGUGAGGUAUAUGGGCUGACGCCUGCCCGGUGCUGGAAGGUUAAGAGGAGAGGUUAGAGCAAUCGAAGCUUUGAAUUUAAGCCCCAGUAAACGGCGGCCGUAACAAUAACGGUCCUAAGGUAGCGAAAUUCCUUGUCGGGUAAGUUCCGACCCGCACGAAAGGCGUAAUGAUUUGGGCACUGUCUCAACAACACACCCGGUGAAAUUGAAAUACCAGUGAAGAUGCUGGUUACCUGCGCCAGGACGGAAAGACCCCAUGGAGCUUUACUCCAGUUUGAUACUGGGAUUCGGUACUGUCUGUACAGGAUAGGUGGGAGGCUAGGAAAUGGUGACGCCAGUUGCCAUGGAGCCAACCUUGGGAUACCACCCUUACAGUACUGGGUUUCUAACCUGCAGCCGUGACCCGGCUGGGGGACAAUGUCUGACGGGGAGUUUGACUGGGGCGGUCGCCUCCGAAAGAGUAUCGGAGGCGCUCAAAGGUUCCCUCAGAACGGUUGGAAACCGUUCGAAGAGUGCAAAGGCAGAAGGGAGCUUGACUGCGACACCGACGGGUGGAGCAGAUACGAAAGUAGGACUUAGUGAUCCGGUGGUAUAAAGUGGGAUCGCCAUCGCUCAACGGAUAAAAGCUACCCUGGGAUAACAUGCUUAUCACUCCCAAGAGUUCACAUCGACGGAGUGGUUUGGCACCUCGAUGUCGGCUCAUCGCAUCCUGGAGCUGUAGCAGGUUCCAAGGGUUGGGCUGUUCGCCCAUUAAAGCGGUACGCGAGCUGGGUUCAGAACGUCGUGAGACAGUUCGGUCCCUAUCCGGCGUGGGCGUAGGAUAUUUGAGAGGAGCUGUCCUUAGUACGAGAGGACCGGGAUGGACAAACCUCUGGUGUAUCUGUUGUUUUACCAAAGGCAUGGCAGAGUAGCCAAGUUUGGCAGGGAUAAACGCUGAAGGCAUCUAAGCGUGAAGCCCCCCUCAAGAUAAGAUAUCCCAUCUUCGGAGUAAGACCCCUUGAAGACUACAAGGUUGAUAGGCUUCAGGUGUAAGUGUGGUAACGCACUCAGCUGAGAAGUACUAAUAGGUCGAGGACUUACC
rnacentral:rRNA from 1 species